rnacentral:rRNA from 1 species
GAAACUGCGAAUGGCUCAUUAUAACAGUUAUAAUUUAUUCGGUGAUGAAAUCUACAUGGAUAACCGUGGUAAUUCUAGAGCUAAUACAUGCUAAAAGGCCUUAACAGGUUGCAGUUAUUAGACUUAGAACUUUCUUUUUGGUGAUUCAUAGUAACUUGCGAAUCGUUUUGAUAGACCGUAUAAGUUUCUGACCUAUCAGCUUUGACGGUAAGGUAUUGGCUUACCGUGGCAUUCACGGGUAACGGGAAUUAGGGUUCGAUUCCGGAGAGGGAGCCUGAGAGACGGCUACCACAUCUAAGGAUGGCAGCAGGCGCGCAAAUUACCCAAUCCUGAUACAGGGAGGUAGUGACAAGAAAUAACGAAGCAGGACACAUUGUGAUUCUGCUGUUGGAAUGAGUGGGUUUUAAAAAUCCUCACGAGUAACAAUUGGAGGGCAAGUCUGGUGCCAGCAGCCGCGGUAAUUCCAGCUCCAAUAGCGUAUAUUAAAGUUGUUGCAGUUAAAAAGCUCGUAGUUGAAGUUGUGUACGUCGGAAUGGUGUGGCGAUUGUCAUGUCAAACUGUCGUAUAUUUCUCAGUUUUCUGAGACUGUUACUUUGAGGAAAUUAGAGUGCUCCAAGCAAGCUUUGCUUUGAAUACUUCAGCAUGGGAUAACAUCAUAAGACUUUGGCUUUUGUUGUUUGUUCUGUGGCCAAGGUAAAGAUUAAUAGGAACGGUUGGGACAUUCGUAUUAAACAGUGAGAGGUGAAAUUCUUAGAUCUGUUUAAGACGCACUAAUGCGAAAGCAUUUGUCAAGGACGUUUUCAUUAAUCAAGAACGAAAGUUAGGGGAUCGAAGACGAUCAGACACCGUCGUAGUCUUAACUAUAAACUAUGCCGACUAGGGAUUGGGAGGCGUCCUUUUCGACUCUACCAGCAUCUUAAGAGAAAUCAAAGUUUUUGGGUUCUGGGGGGAGUAUGGUCGCCAAGGCUGAAACUUGAAGGAAUUGACGGAAGGGCACCACCAGGAGUGGAGCCUGCGGCUUAAUUUGACUCAACACGGGAAAACUCACCAGGUCCUGACGUAGGCAUGAUUGACAGAUUAGUUGUUCUUUCUUGAUUCUACGGGUGGUGGUGCAUGGCCGUUCUUAGUUGGUGGAGUGAUUUGUCUGGUUAAUUCCGUUAACGAACGAGACCUCAGCCUGCUAAAUAGGGUUCAGCGGUUCGCCGCUGCAACGCCUUCUUAGAGGGACUUUGGGUAUUAAACUCAAGGAAGAUUGAGGCAAUAACAGGUCUGUGAUGCCCUUAGAUGACCUGGGCUGCACGCGCGCUACAAUGGUUCGGGGAGCGAGCGUAUCCUGUUCCGCAAGGAAGGUAAUCUUGUAAAUCCGAAUCGUGAUCGGAAUCGAUUCUUGUAAUUAUUAAUCGUGAACGAGGAAUUCCUAGUAAGCACGGGUCAUCAACUCGUGCUGAUUACGUCCCUGCCCU